rnacentral:rRNA from 1 species
GGGCGUAAAGAGCUCGUAGGCGGUUUGUCGCGUCUGCUGUGAAAACUGGAAGCUCAACUCCCAGCCUGCAGUGGGUACGGGCAGACUAGAGUGCGGUAGGGGAGAACGGAAUUCCUGGUGUAGCGGUGGAAUGCGCAGAUAUCAGGAGGAACACCGAUGGCGAAGGCAGUUCUCUGGGCCGUUACUGACGCUGAGGAGCGAAAGCGUGGGGAGCGAACAGGAUUAGAUACCCUGGUAGUCCACGCCGUAAACGGUGGGUGCUAGCUGUGGGCCACAUUCCACGUGGUCCGUGACGAAGUUAACACAUUAAGCACCCCGCCUGGGGAGUACGGCCGCAAGGCUAAAACUCAAAGGAAUUGACGGGGGCCCGCACAAGCGGCGGAGCAUGCGGAUUAAUUCGAUGCAACGCGAAGAACCUUACCAAGGCUUGACAUAUAGAGGAAAAGUGCAGAAAUGUACUCCCCGUAAGGUCUCUAUACAGGUGGUGCAUGGUUGUCGUCAGCUCGUGUCGUGAGAUGUUGGGUUAAGUCCCGCAACGAGCGCAACCCUCGUCCUAUGUUGCCAGCACGUAAUGGUGGGAACUCAUGGGAUACUGCCGGGGUCAACUCGGAGGAAGGU